UUUUUUUGAGAUGGAGUCUUGCUCUGUCGCUCAGGCUGGAGUGCAGUGGUGCGAUCUCGGCUCACUUCGCCUCCCAGGUUCAAGCAAUUCUCCUGCCUCAGCCUCCCAAGUAGCUGAAACUACAGGCGCCCACCACCAUGCCCGACUAAUUUUUGUAUUUUUUUAGUAGAGACGAGGUUUCACCAUGUUGGCCAGGCUGGUCUCGAACUCCUGACCUCAAGUGAUCCGCCUGCCUCGGCCUCCCAAAGUGCUAGGAUUACAGGUGAGAGCCACUGUGCCCAGCCCUGGUCUUAACUGUUAUAUUUCCUACAACAUCCAGCAUUCUGCAUCCUGCCCUCAGUUGGUGCUCAGUAGCAUUGUUGAUGCAGUGUUAUCCGGAAGGAACUCAGAGGCUAUCAGGGGAAACAAAAACAAUGCAUUGAAUACUGACAACCUGAUGAGAAAGAUAUGCCACGAGAUGGACAGACACAACGCUAAGUGAGUUCAGAGGAGGCUUACUGAAAAAGGCGUGACAUUCUGUCUCGUACAUUAAAAAGAAUGGAAUUUGGAAAGGCACGGAUGGAGGAGAAAGGCACUCCAGGUAGAAGGGACCCCAUAAGUAAAUGUACAGAAGUGGGAAAUUAUGGUAUAUACAGGAAAUAACUACUAUUUGGUUUGGUUAAACGUAGGGCCCUAGAAGGCAGAGAUGUGGGAAGUG
rnacentral:lncRNA from 1 species